ACGUCGACGUCGGAGUCAUCGUCCCCGCCGUCGUCCGGAGGCGGCGGUUCUUGCUGCGAGGACUCGCAAUGGACGGCAGAGAAGGCCUCCUCAAAGGUCACGCGGAAGCUGGGUGAAGCCGUGAUGAGCGGUACGUCUCCCUCUCCUCCUCCUUGCAUCGCUUCCGGUUCGUGUAUUGUCUCGUCUGCGAUCACUUCUUUUUCUUCUCCGAUGGGAUGAUCCGAUCAGAAGCUCACGGGCAGGGGUGGGGGGGGGGGGGGGUUGAUGGACGGAGAGACGGGGGUUGGCGGCGUUAAUAAAGGGGACGCGGUGGUUAGUGAGGUAAGCGUUGAGCUAAGCGGGCGGAGGCUUGGCUUGGAGGUUUUCGUGCGGGAGAAGCCACACGCGUCAACGGGAGGGGUAUACGGUUAGGCACGCGUGAGGGAGGGUUUGUUUCUGGAAAGACAACUGGCACUUAUGAGAAGGUGACGUCAUAGCUCUCGACAUUGGGGUCGUGGGAUGCGGAGGUGGAAUUCCACCUGCGGUUGGUGGAGACGGUUGGGGCCCAAGCUAGCUGGUAUCUCAUCUUCUGGACGCCCGGGGAAACCUGGAAUUAAUAAAUCCCUUAAAAAUCGUGCUUUAUUUUUAUGUGAAGCACAAUGGAUGAUGAAAGCAAUAAUACGAUGAUGACGUGUCAAGGUGGUGGCGUGCUUCACGACAGGAGGGAAUAAAUGAUGUUAUGCCCGUCCCAAUCCCAAUUAAUUUCGGAAAUUACUGGGACAAACACACGAUGAGUUUGGUUUGAAAUUGUCAUUCAUAAAUGUGAGUGCAUAUGAUAAACGAGUGAAGGUGCAAUGUAUAAUAUGGGUGGACGAGAGGGUAACGUGUUGUUAAGAGUAAGUCAAAGUUAUGUUCGUUACAGCAUUGAGGAACGGGGAUUUCUUAGGCCGGUUGUUUAAGAUUAUAAGAGUCAAAUUCUACGCCGAACGUAGAUUAACUUUCUCUGGCUUUCUAACGUGGAGCUCUACCGAUCGCCCUAUCGGUGUUCGGUAUCGCUAUUUGCCAAAGGUUGAUGUCGUCUCCAAAGCACAGGGGGGAAUCUGGACUCGGAAGACUUCCACGAAAGAGGUUACGAUGACGCACCUGAAUAAAGUUGAUGCUUGGUGGUGAAGUGAGUCGUGGUCCAAAUCCGAUGGAAGUGCUGGGUUCGGGACUGGAAUCGCGACCGAACACGCAUGUGGACGUACCCAUGAAGUGGAAACCAGAACGAUGGAGAGAGUGAUAUGAUGCCGACGUAUCACAUGGAGUGUCGUGCAGCGGGCGAACCGCAGCGUCGAGCGUGGGGUACUAUUCCCACUUCCGGAGACACUCGGUGGCAAUUGUCCUUGGGAAUGAAUCUUAUCCGGAUGAAGAAUGCGUAAUGAUUUGAGCUAAUUUGAUUUGAGCAUUGUUAUAUUCAAUUAGAUAGUAACGAAUGGUGUCUGAUUUCACUUAGUAUUGGAGAUGUGGAAGAAUCGAAGUUGUGGAAAGCUACCCGUUGAUGGCAUAUUAAGAUGUAUAUCUACCAUUAAUUGAUC
rnacentral:lncRNA from 1 species